GCAUUCACAGAGCGUUUCGUUCGCAGCGGCAAUCACAGCCGCUCGUGCUCGCAUGAAGAUCCACACCAACCGGCCCCACAGCCCAUGUGGCAUUUCACCUCGGUCUCACUUCUGAACCAUUACCACGCGAUAUACCGAUGAAUACAGUCGACCGUAUCUGACUUUAGUGGGCCCGAUACGCCCUCCUCACGUACCAGGAUGGUGGGACUCCUCGCUCCCAUCUGGAGAGGCGGACAACCUCACCACCGCUCCUGCUCGUCGCACUCCUCCGCUAGCCGUCGACUAGCCCACAGUAGAGGAGGCGACCUCCCCUGUUACACGGAAAAAAGAGGAGGCGAACUCCCCUAUCCAAGCAUCCUCACGGUGCCAGAAGAGUUUGAGCCGCAACAGCGGCAAGAGAUGAGGAGAAAGAAGAGGGGAAGGAGAUGGAAGUUUCAGAUCCAAAACUGCUAUUCUUGUUUUCCUUCCCAAAUCUGCUUGCUUUUUUGGUUUACUGUGAUUCUAUGUUUUGAUGUGAUCUUUGUUUCUUGAUAGGAAGAGAUUGGAUGAGAAAAAUCUCCUCCUCAGAUUCGCCCAAAGAGUCAAUAGAUCGGGGAUGGUCCGAGGAGGAAGACAGCCAGGAGCGUAGCCUCCAGAUCUCCAAGCCGCUUCUCCUCCCUAGACUAUUGCAGUGCUCCUCGAUUUCCUCACCUGGCUCGUAACGUCCGUCACGCAGCGGGAUGAAGUACAGAAAAUGGUGGUCGCUCUCCCGAACAAAAGAGUUCUAGGUUGCUGCUGCUUCACGUCGUCGGGGCAUGGCUCGGGCUAUUACAAUUGGUGUGCUAAAAAGAAAUACCCUACUGGAUUUGGUCCCGGUGAAUUUGCUCUAAUGUUUCUUUACUUUUAGAAUGGUGGUCGCUCUCCCGAACAAAAGAGUUCUAGGUUGCUGCUGCUUCACGUCGUCGGGGCAUGGCUAGGGGUCGGCCACUAGAUGCUCUUUGACUUGAGUUUUGGGUCAUAAGAUACGCAAGGCCAGGGAGGAGCAUGCCUCUUGUCUUCACAUACUCAUCUUUUUUUUUCUAUGGAUUGGAAGGGGUUGCGGCUUGAUAGAUUUUGCAUAUUGCGUUCAAGAUUUGUUGUGCUCAUUAGUAGCACUUUUCCCGUGAAGUUCUUUUCGAGUGAAUCAGACAACAUUGCUUAAAGUAUCCGACUAAUAAAUAUUUGAAGAUUUGCAAGCACUAUUUUUAACCAA